AUUGAACGCUAGCGGGAUGCUUUACACAUGCAAGUCGAACGGCAGCGCGGACUUCGGCCUGGCGGCGAGUGGCGAACGGGUGAGUAAUGUAUCGGAACGUGCCCAGUAGCGGGGGAUAACUACGCGAAAGCGUAGCUAAUACCGCAUACGCCCUACGGGGGAAAGCAGAGGAUCGUAAGACCUUGCACUAUUGGAGCGGCCGAUAUCGGAUUAGCUAGUUGGUGAGGUAACGGCUCACCAAGGCGACGAUCCGUAGCUGGUUUGAGAGGACGACCAGCCACACUGGGACUGAGACACGGCCCAGACUCCUACGGGAGGCAGCAGUGGGGAAUUUUGGACAAUGGGGGCAACCCUGAUCCAGCCAUCCCGCGUGUGCGAUGAAGGCCUUCGGGUUGUAAAGCACUUUUGGCAGGAAAGAAACGUCGCGGGCUAAUACCCCGUGGAACUGACGGUACCUGCAGAAUAAGCACCGGCUAACUACGUG
rnacentral:rRNA from 1 species